UGCCGUUCGAUCUGCUACGCUGGUGUUCCAUGACAGUGUGGGAACUGCCGUUCGAUCUGCUGCGCUGGUGUUCCAUGACAGUGUGGGAACUGCCGUUCGUGCUGCUGUGCUGGUAUUCCAGGGUAGUGUGGGAACUGGCGUUCGAGCUGAAAGAGAGUUGUACCGUGAUCAUUUCGUCAAUUGGAUUUCCUGUUGCCGUGAAAAGUGACUCCCCAGAAGCGAGCUCGGCAAUUAUGCAGCCCAGAGACCACAUGUCCACUGCGCAGGCAUCGGAGUACCUGCCCAAAGGACCCCUUCCCAAUCACAUUCAGUACUUGGAAGCGGUACACCAAGUGUUCAUCCGUGAUCUGGAACAAGAUUACACAAGUGUUCAGUACUCAACCAGGGCCCUCUCUGAGUGCUCAAACAUUACUCAGUCUAAACACACGGCUCAUUCAAGUUCUCAUUUAUCAGUCACUGGUUUGACAUUCACACACUCAUGCACAUGUCUGAGCUCUCUCUGAUGUCUCUGCCAAAUACAUCUUUGCCUCACGCUGGAAACCACUAAAUCAUUCUAUGCAAAGUGUGGGUUAUAGAAUGUCCUUUAUCUGUAUUUUUGAAGCUUUUUUCUCAGAGCUGGAUGACAAAGAUAGUCACUACAUCGCGCGCUUCGAGAUGCACUUCUGCUGCUGUCUGGAAUGCUCUUCCUUCCGAUAUUAGGAAGCCACUGGAGCGAUGCACUGUUAAAUCUAGAUUUAAAACCCAAAAUCACAGAUGCCAAAUUUCAGGCCCUUUCUCCUUCAGCCUCGUUCACUUUUACAUAGCCAUGUUCAUUCAAUUCCCGGAUUCCACCCACACAGUUAGUGGCCUCACUCUGUAUGCCCUGCAUACUAUACUCAUAGGCUAUGCCAACCCCACCCACUACUCAGGUAGCCCCACCUUUUGGUCGUAUCAAGAGUUGAGCAUUAGGCCAGAACAUUUUCAUCGAUACAAAUUCAAAAAAAAAAUUGUAGUUGCUUUGUGGCACCAGGAGAGCCUUUCUGAAAAUGUCCAAAACCAGGACAUUGAGUCGCUUAACAUUUAAGUGUUCUUCACAUAGAAAAUCAUGAGCAACAUAUUAGGUAUACACGUGCGUGUAAGGGAUGUUGUGCUUUAUAGUGGAAUGCAUGAUUUAGUUGCAAUGAGCAUGGCCCAUAUUGGAGAGUCUUACCGGAAUGUAGUGGUCGUUGAUGUCAUCGUAGCCAUUAUUGGAAGGGCCAUUUCGUUCAGAACGAAUCUUGAAAUAAUAAACUUCAUUGAUUUUCAAUAUUUCUCGACGUUCCUGCACUGUCAUUCUGUCUUUGAAUUUGUCCAAGACUUCUGCACACACACAUGCCCAAAGACACACAUGGUCAUUCAUGCACAUAUACACGUGUGCAACAAACGUAAUUACAAUCACAAAUAAACCGAGCACAUAAUGUUACCCUUAACAAAGAGACUCGAUUUGGGCCUCUUGUAUGUGUGCUGUUAACGGAUUUGUAAAGCCAUUUAGGGAUUGGCUCUAGAUAGAUGUGGAUGUGUGUUUGUUAUAGAGGAGUGUGGCAGUAAUUCAUGUGGUGAAUGAUGCUGAAUAAAGUGAAGUAAAACCUUGUGGUGUGCAGCUCA